rnacentral:rRNA from 1 species
UGAUCAUGGCUCAGAUUGAACGCUGGCGGCAGGCUUAACACAUGCAAGUCGAGCGGAGAGAGGUAGCUUGCUACUGAUCUUAGCGGCGGACGGGUGAGUAAUACUUAGGAAUCUGGCUAUUAGUGGGGGACAACAUUUCGAAAGGGAUGCUAAUACCGCAUACGUCCUACGGGAGAAAGCAGGGGAUCUUCGGACCUUGCGCUAAUAGAUGAGCCUAAGUCGGAUUAGCUAGUUGGGGGGGUAAAGGCCUACCAAGGCGACGAUCUGUAGCGGGUCUGAGAGGAUGAUCCGCCACACUGGGACUGAGACACGGCCCAGACUCCUACGGGAGGCAGCAGUGGGGAAUAUUGGACAAUGGGGGGAACCCUGAUCCAGCCAUGCCGCGUGUGUGAAGAAGGCCUUAUGGUUGUAAAGCACUUUAAGCGAGGAGGAGGGUACUGGUAUUAAUACUACCAGGUACUGGACGUUACUCGCAGAAUAAGCACCGGCUAACUCUGUGCCAGCAGCCGCGGUAAUACAGAGGGUGCGAGCGUUAAUCGGAUUUACUGGGCGUAAAGCGUGCGUAGGCGGCUAAUUGAGUCGGAUGUGA